rnacentral:rRNA from 1 species
CGCCUGUUUUAUCAAAAACAUCGCCUCUUGAACUUUAAUAAGAGGUCCAGCCUGCCCAGUGACCUAAUUAAACGGCCGCGGUAUCCUAACCGUGCGAAGGUAGCGUAAUCACUUGUUCUUUAAUUGAGGACUAGUAUGAAUGGCACCACGAGAGUUGUACUGUCUCCCUUUUUUAAUCAGUGAAACUAAUCCUCCCGUGAAGAAGCGGGAAUUUAUUUAUUAGACGAGAAGACCCUAUGGAGCUUUAAACUGACCACCACCUACUGCCUAUAAACCCUCACAUAAAGCAAAGUAGGAUGUUAACAUGUUUUCGAUUGGGGUGAUCACGGAGCAAAAAAUAACCUCCACGAUAAACAGGCCUAAACCCUGAGCUACAAGCCACAACUUUCAGCACUAUAAAAUUAAUAUUUCUUGACCCAAUAAUUUGAUCAACGAACCAAGUUACCCUAGGGAUAACAGCGCAAUCUACUUCAAGAGCCCCUAUCGACAAGUAGGUUUACGACCUCGAUGUUGGAUUAGGGUGUCCCAGUGGUGCAGCCGCUACUAAGGGUUCGUUUGUUCAACGAUUAAAACCCUACGUGAUCUGAGU